rnacentral:rRNA from 1 species
GAUGAACGCUGGCGGCGUGCCUAAUACAUGCAAGUAGAACGCUGAAGGAGGAGCUUGCUCUUCUGGAUGAGUUGCGAACGGGUGAGUAACGCGUAGGUAACCUGCCUGGUAGCGGGGGAUAACUAUUGGAAACGAUAGCUAAUACCGCAUGACAACAGUUAUUGCAUGAUAACUGUUUAAAAGGGGCAACUGCUCCACUACCAGAUGGACCUGCGUUGUAUUAGCUAGUUGGUGAGGUAACGGCUCACCAAGGCGACGAUACAAAGCCGACCUGAGAGGGUGAUCGGCCACACUGGGACUGAGACACGGCCCAGACUCCUACGGGAGGCAGCAGUAGGGAAUCUUCGGCAAUAGACGGAAGUCUGACCGAGCAACGCCGCGUGAGUGAAGAAGGUUUUCGGAUCGUAAAGCUCUGUUGCAAGAGAAGAACGAGUGUGAGAGUGGAAAGUUCACACUGUGACGGUAUCUUACCAGAAAGGGACGGCUAACUACGUG